rnacentral:rRNA from 1 species
GACGAACGCUGGCGGCGUGCUUAACACAUGCAAGUCGAACGGAAAGGCCCUGCUCUUGUUGGUUUCUCGAUUGGCGAACGCGUGAGUAACACGCGUGUAACCUGCCCUUGUCUUUCGGAUAACUUCAGGGAACUGGGGCUCAUAUCGGAUAUGAGCUCCUGCUGCAUUGUGUUCGUUGGAAAGUUUCGGCUGUUGGGGAUGGAUUCGCGGCUUAUCGGCUUGUUUGUGGGGUAGUGGCUUACGAAGGCUGUGACGGGUAGCCGGCCUGGGAGGGUUACCGGCGACAUGGGGACUGAGAGACGGAGCAGAAUCCUACGGGAGGCAGCAGGGGGGAAUAUUGCACAAUGGGCGGAAGCCUGAUGCAGAGACGCCGCGUGCGGGAUGACGGCUUUCGGGGUAUAAACCGCUUUCGCCUGUGACGAAGCGUGAGUGACGGUAAUGGGUAAAGAAGCACCGGCUAACUACGUG